UGGGGAAUAUUGCACAAUGGGCGCAAGCCUGAUGCAGCCAUGCCGCGUGUGUGAAGAAGGCCUUCGGGUUGUAAAGCACUUUCAGCGGGGAGGAAGGCGUUAAGGUUAAUAACCUUGGCGAUUGACGUUACCCGCAGAAGAAGCACCGGCUAACUCCGUGCCAGCAGCCGCGGUAACACGGAGGGUGCAAGCGUUAAUCGGAAUUACUGGGCGUAAAGCGCACGCAGGCGGUUUGUUAAGUCAGAUGUGAAAUCCCCGGGCUCAACCUGGGAACUGCAUCUGAUACUGGCAAGCUUGAGUCUCGUAGAGGGGGGUAGAAUUCCAGGUGUAGCGGUGAAAUGCGUAGAGAUCUGGAGGAAUACCGGUGGCGAAGGCGGCCCCCUGGACGAAGACUGACGCUCAGGUGCGAAAGCGUGGGGAGCAAACAGG
rnacentral:rRNA from 1 species